UUAUAACUGCUCUGGACUUUCUCGAGUAAUAGGCUGGUGGCUACAGUGUAAUAGCAUGUGACCUGUCAUCUUUUCCUCUGUGAUUGACAGUCCACUCUGUAGUAACAUCUGUAGCCAUCUUCAAGCUUUUCCAGUAGCAUAAAGCAAUUGCCUCCAAAGCAUGUCAUGCUUUGAGUUUUCAUUUGAAGAAAAUGUGUUACUUUGGGUCCAAAUGUGCACCUCAGAGCACACUGAGUGACAACAAGGACACUUUUAUUUCUGGUGGAUGAUACCACCCAUUGUCAGUAAGAGGUUAGGGUUACCAAGAAAAUUUGAAAUAAAUGACUCUUGAUAGAAAUAUGGGAGCUAUAUAGUUAUCAAUUUUCUUGUAACAAAUUACUCCCAAAAUAUAGCCCAAGCAUGUAUUUCUUCUCACAGUUCUUGACGUUGAAAAAUUUAAGAACCAAUGAGUUGGUGAUUCUGGCUUAGGGUACCAAGAGAUUGCAUCUUCCGCUGUCAGCUGAAGUGUCCUAAGGCCCUGGACACUUGACUGGGCCUGAGGCUCUGUUUCCAACCAAGGGCCUGGGGCAAGAAGUUUUCACUCCUUGGUCUAUGAACAUUUCUAUGGACCUGCCAUGGCACAGGGGCAUGGUUGUCCCACAGAGGUAGCUGGCAAUCUAAGCAGAAGCUGCGGUAUUUUUACAAUAGAAUCCAAGGUUUAACAGUUCAGAGCCUGUGCCAUAGUGUGUUAGCUGUGAAGACAGCUCUGUAACGGUGUGAGAAGGAAGCACACAAGAACAUAAACACCAGGAAACAGGACUCACUGGACAGCAUUCUGAGGCAGGGUAACACCCCUCGCCCCCCAAAAAAAAAACUGAAUUUAAAGAAUAAGCUGCCUUUUAACUAAGCUAACUUUAAACAAAGCUAACUAGAAACAAGGCUAACUUUAUGCCUACUCUUAUCAACAGAAAUUAGCUAAGAAUUUUAUUUACAAUUUCAUUUCCACUAUCACAUUCAUUUCACUUUUUCUCUCUAGAUAAUUAAAGGCAAAGACAGCCUGUAAAGGCUACUUUAAAAAAAAGUCAUCAAAAUUUAAGACUUGUGAUAAAAAUGUAUGUACCAGUUGUUUGCCCUGUCAGAAUCCCUUCACAAGUUAAUAGAUGGUUGACAUAAAAGCUGACAUAUGGCCAUUUUGACUGAAACUUUUCUAAUAGUGUGGUAAUCUUUGUAGGCCAAGGAAGAACAGAACUGAUGAACUGAUUAAACUGGAGUUGUAAUACAAGUACCUCUAAAGUCUCUUUUUCCUCUUGAAUAUCAGCAGGCAAGGCUGAGGUUGAGCAGGGAGGGAAGGCUAAGGACAUGCAUGACACAUACAGAAGAUAUUCUAGCCCCAUGGCAAGGAUUCCCCUCUGGCCUUAAAGGAAGAGGAGGAAAUGAUUUGGGCUCCGUCAAGUUUCUUGCAUGCUUAGCUUGAUACCAUGGUUUAUGGACACUGUCUAAACGUGAUUUUCCUACUCUUUUCAGUUCUGAAAGGUGCCUUGGUUUGCAUGGAGAUUUUCAUAUUCGCUCUAAUUUUAUGUUUUUACAAAAAGAUUGACUUCCUUUCAAUUAUCCUCCCCCCCACCCCAGGAGAAAGAUCAUCAACAUUCCUUGAACGCCACACAUCAUGCUGAUAAAAUUCCUUUCCUUGAGUCGCUGGGUAUACCAAGUCCUCCUAGAACUCCAGUGAACGUUGUGCCUCAAAUUAGAAUAGAACUUGAGCCUGAAGACAACGAUUAUCUUUGGAGGAGCAAGGGAACAGAAACCACAUUGUAACCUGUGUGUCUUUCUCAAACCUGAUAGUUCUGUCGUUAACUGUUCUAAUUUUUUUUCCUUUUUAUGUCUAUGUAUUUUAAAACCUUUGUUCGGUCACUGGCUGAAUAAUACAGUCACUUUCUCUGCUUCUGUCUUGCAUAGGUAAAAUCAAGACAAUACCGUCCCUUUUCUUAAAAAAAAAAAAAUGCAACUGAGGGGUCACAUUUCUGUUUCCAUGCAUUCAGGUGUGUCCUCUGAUCUGUAAAUUCCUGCCACUCACGACACACAGAAACCACCCCUGUCAAGCAGAGAUCAAAAGCAUUAGGGAAAUUUGCACCACCUUUUAGGAAACUAUUGAAGGAACUUACAACCUAAGCUUCGAGCUGUGCUUCCUGGCUUGGCUCUGUCUGGUAGGGCAGCCCUUGUACUGCAGACAGAGUCCCUUCUUGCUUUACAGAGCCCCCAAAACUGGAAAAGUGCUGCUACCAAUCUUCCCUUGCUCGCCAACCCUGAUCUUAGAGUUAUCAAAAGCUGAAAACACUAACGGUACUUCGCUCCCUGUAGAGAAAUCUUUGCCACCUUUGUAGCAAGUACUGCAAUGUCACUUUUCCUAUGCAACUUUUUUUAACCCUUUAAUGAACUUAUCUGUUGAGUACAUUGAAGAAUAUUUUUCUUCCUAGAUUUUGUUGUUUAAAUUAUGGGGCCUAACCUGCAACUUAUUUUUUUUUUGUCAACUUUUUAAACUUUUUUUUUAAUUACUGUAAAGAAAAUGAAUUUUUUCCUGCAGCAGGAAACAUAGUUUUGAGUAGUUCUACCUCUGACCUGUAGCUGCCAGGCUUUCUGUAAAAAUUGUAUUGUAUAUAAUGUGAUUUUUACACACGUGUGCAUACACAUCCACGCGCGUGCUCUCACGCGCACACACACACACACACACACACACACACACACACACACACACUCUAGGGUAAGCCAGAAGGCUAGAACAAAUGAAAAGAAAAACAAAACACCAUGUUUCUAAGAAUCUAUUGGGUUGUUGGUUUUUGGGUUGUUUUCUUUUUUCUCCCUUUCUUCAAAAUAAAUGUAACUGUUCUGUGAAGGAAUUUGGGGAGGAGAGAGAAAACCUGGAAGAAGGGUAACUUCUGUUAUAGGGAUGGUCAUGCCGGAACAGACUAUGCUGUGUUACAAUAUGGAUGUCCUACGCAGUAUUGUUAGGGAUUUCCUCGUCUAAAUAAUUUGUGUGUUUGUACAUGGACUCUGUGUGUGGCUGUUGCUCACUUGUGCAAAGCCAGAGAAAGAAUGAGAGUAGUCAGAGGGCAAAGUUGUCAAGCUCCUUGUGUCCAUUUUUAUAAAACCUCAACCACUCAUGAGAAAUCUGUCGGGGGCCAAAAAAAAAAAAAACAAAAAACAAAAAAACCAUGUAUCGUGUAACUUCAGGCGAAUAUAUAUCUUAUCACUCAGGCAUCACCGUCAACAUCACAGAUACAGCAGUCCAUACCUACAAUACAAAAGCCAUCAGAAUGUCAACAGCCCAGUCACACAGCUCAUACAUGGAGUAGGCGUGCACCAUAGAUCUGCAAAGAAAGCUUCAAGUGCUCAUUUCCACGCGCUUAUAGGGCAGGGUUGUUGAACCACUUAGGCUAUAUGUGUGUGUGUAUGUGUGUGUUCCGAUACGCCAUGUUGAAAAUUAGACCUUUGUUAGCCAAAUUGAGUGUGGCAUUUGAUUGCAAUAUUUCUAGUAAGUUAUAUCAUAUGCUACACCGAUCAUAUAAUAACAGUUUAGAUGUGGGAUCCAUACUUUUAGACUUGCGGAACAGCAGUUGGGAUACACACUCCCUGUAAUAGGUUGCUGGAGGAGAAUAGAACCAUACACUGGUUCUGGGGUGUGUUCUUAUGGACACCCCCUUUCUUACGUUAACUGAAAUAUAAUUCUGCCCUCCUGAAAUUUUGAGGAUAACGGUCUUGUUAUCCUAAGUUAACUGUUAAUGUUCAUAGCAUUCGGUCAUCUUGAAACCUUAGAUUUUAUAGAAAUUAGGCAUGAAUUGACCCCAGUCUUUUUCAUUAAAAUGAUAGCAGCAAAUAACAUGUCUGCUAACAUCUCAAGUAAUAAUCUUUCUUUUUUUACAUCACAUUUGUAUUCAGAACUGUCCUUAAAAAUGAUUAUUAUGCGGUAUCUGGCUUUCUAUUGAACCUUGUAACCUUACAUUUUUAGUGAUAGAUCCAUCAGUGAAAUGUUUAAAAGCAUGCAUAGCAAAUGCAGUCUAACCAUGAUGUUAAAUCAAAGCCGCUUGGAUCAUGUUUGUGAAAUCUCUGGUUAUAUAUAUAUAUAACAUAUAUAAUAUAAUAUAUAUAUUAUAUAUAUAACUUUCAAAUUAUGAAUCAAGUUUAUGUAGGGAUUCAUGAUCCUCCUCUUACUUUUCAGAGAGCUCCUGGAGUAAUUUAUCAUUUCAGUGUUUGAGGAGCUCUUGAGGUUCUCUCACGCCAUUUAUGGUCCCUCGUCUGUGGCUGGGGUGGGUGGUUAGUGUUCACGGAAUGAACACAAAGCCAUCCCUCACAUCUGCUGCAGGAACAGUGAACAGCAGGCACUCUCAUAACCACUGUAGUUCCCAUGCUAACCUCCAUGGCCUCACCCCAGGAUCUGAAUCUGGCUGAAUUUGCUUAAUUGGUUGAUAGCUAAGCAGAUUUCAUGGUGGUUUUGUUUCUAUGUAAACUGGACACAAAUACAGCAAUGAAUUCUUUAAAAUGCCUUUCUACCCUUCCUCCCUGGAUGUGAACUUGGAGAUAAAUGUUUCUUGAAGACUCCAAGUUGUUGACCAGGAAUACUGUGGUUGUGCAAAACUGGCUGUGAGAACAAGAUGGGCAGGCUGAGCCUGCCUGUCUUUGAAGCGUCGAAGCCUCCAUUUUGCAGAAACCCUUAAGAUGCUCGUCUUUUUCUACUGUGUGCAGAAACUACUUGGAAUCCUAUUUGUUUUGUGUGUCAGAGGCCGUGUUGUUUCUGCUUCUUCUUCUUCUGGAAAAGUUGAGGGGUGGGGCUGGGAAGUACUUACUUGAGAAGAGGCAAACUAAACCUUGCCCCUCAUCCCUAACCUAAGAGAAGCAGGGAGGGGUCUGCUGUCAAUAACUUAGCUUAUGUGCAUUUUGGGCACAUGUAAGAACACACACAGAGGAAAUCCUUUGUCAGCUAUGUGUUGCUGUUUAAUAUAGCAAAUGAUUGUCUUCCAUGUUUUUGUUUCUUUUUUUUUUUUUUUAACUGUGUUAAAGUACUUGAAAUGUAUUGACUGCUGACUAUCUUUUAAAAACAAAACCAUUUGAGUUAUAUUACAAAGGUUGGCAUUGAUCGGGAAUGGGACAGAGUUUUCUUCAGUCUUUUUCAUGCCGCUUCAUGAUUUUGGUGCAAGAAUCUGAGGUUUUCUUCUUUAUAUUCUGGGAUAUUUCCCGUCUGCUUUCCCAGCACGACCAUGAAGGCCAGUUGGUACGAAGUGACUGGGGACAGUCGGAAGACAGCAGUACUUCCCUGUCACAACAGCCUUGGGAGUUGUCAGAUGACCUCAUGGAGCUUCAUGGCAGCCAGAAAUGAAAACCCUUUUGUAAUAUAUGUGAAUCUGGCAGGCUGUGUUUUAACCAGAGAUCUGGAUAGAUCUUAUUCCUGGCUCAUUUCAUUGUGCUCUAUGGAUACACACAAGAAUCCUGAAUUUUGUUUCCUAGGCAAAUACUGCAACUCAGGGCUAAAGUCACCCAAUGAAUCCUUAGAGCCUGAAGUCUCUUUCUCCCAGGCCAACAAUGUACAACAAAUGCUGACUUGCCUCCUUGCAGCCAUUUUCAUGGCUGGCACAUAUCCGUACACUUCACUUUUCACAAUCAGUACGCACUUUCAGAUAUUCUUAUUUUUAUUCUCUUAAGUCUUUAUUAACUUUGGAGAAAUGAUGCUUCUUUUUAUUUUAAAUGAAGUAGAUCAACAUGGUGGAACAAAAUGAUAAAGAACAGAAAACAUUUCAAUAUAUUACUAAUAAUUUUUUUCCAAUAUGAAACCUAAAAUUCCUAUAACAUAGUAUUUUGCAGUUUUAUGAAGCUUUCUAUUGUGACUUUUAUGGAAUUAAGAGAUGAAGAAGAUGAGAUAUUUUAGCAUUUAUAUUUUUCAAAAUUAAAUGUAUACUUAAAAUAAAGUAACUUUAUGCAUUUA